UAAGGGCAUUUUGGCCUGACAGCCACAGCUCCCGCUCACAGAGGAGGGAGGCGGGGCACCUCGCUUCGCGGCGGCUUCAUCUUCUUCCCGCGAGAGGAAACCCUCGUCGUCGCCUCCUCCCCCAAUCCCCUCCCUAGCUCUUGCCCCGAUCGUCGAUCCUCGCCUCGCCGGAGAAUCCCCGAGCCGCGCCGCCCCUUCCUUCCUUCCUUCCUCCUCGCCCGCGCCGUACCCAGGUAUGUCGGGCCGAUCGUCGAUCGAUCCAUGCCCCCGCCGUUCCUCCCGAAGACCUAACCCUAACGCUUCCGCAUAGAUCAUCCCCGAGCUCAGAUCCCGCUCCUCCACUCCUCAUCGAUCGGUCAUGGCCGCCGCACCAGCACCAGCGCUAGCCCCCGACGCCGCCGCACUCCAGCUGCAGAAUCCGGACAAAAUUUACAAAGUGCUACCGAGAUCCUGUCUGUCUCGAUCCCUGGUGUUUGGAUUUGGUUGUUCCUCGCGAUUGCAUUUUGGUUCCUUGUUCAUAUAUGCGUAUAUGUGUGCUCGGAAAUUCGUGGAUAUGCAUAUGCUGUAAGGUGUUGCACCCCUUGGUGCUUGGAUCAGAAUGUCGUGCAUAUGCAUAUAUGCAUAUGCAUAUGCUGGAAGGUGUUGGUCCCCUUGGUGCUUGGAUCAGGAUGUGGUUUGGUUAUUCGCCGCAGUUGGUUUUCUUGUUAAUAUGUAUUCGGAAUUCGUGGCUAUAUCGGAAGGUGUUGUCGCCGGAUCUGUGGUUCACUCAGAAUGAAUUGGUGAUUUUGAGGUACAAUCUGUCAUUUGGCCAUGAAUUCGUGGCAUUAUCAGAAGGUUUGCAUUUGUUUUCGUUACACAUUUGAUGGUAAUAGUUGUUGUACGGUUCUGUGGCAAAAUCUAUUCAAGGUAGUUAGAUUAAAUUUAUUCAAGGUUUGCCAUGAUGUUGAGUACUUCACACGGAAGGUAAUUUCUGAAGAUAUUCAUUUUCCUUUCCCUGAACAACCAACAAAAACUGCUAGUCACUAAAGAACAGUGGUUAAAAUAUUUACAUAUAUUUAUUUCCCCAAAGGUUAGGCUGAUUAAUAGGAAAUUACCACAUGAUAGAUCUAUAACAUGAUAUGGUAACAACAUAUGAGUCCUUUUUAUAAUUUAUUUACUCUUCUUUCUCCUCAAAAGGUUCUUUGACGCUUGGUAAUAUUGUCUUUAAUUAUUGCUACCUGCUUUGAACCAAGUGUGCAAAAACUCUGCGGUUGCAUUUGAAAUGUUCUAGAUGUGUUAAUUGUGGCACACAAGUCAUCUUACUGCUGGUUGCCUUUUGGUUAUUUGGCUACACCAUUCAAUGAUGGUGUUUUGUGGCAACGUUUAGAUCCAGAAAUCAUCUGCAGGUUUGACCAUCGAGCUAUGCUUGCCCAGGUGUUCCUUGCAACAUCAAAAUUAAUUCAACUGUGUACCACCAUCUAUUGUGCUUGCCAGAAUAGUUGGCCUGUUCUCGUGUGAGACUUAUUCUUGCAGCGUGAUCAUGUCCAUCAAUAUGCCAUGCAAAAAACUAUGUCAUUGCUGUACUUGCUAUCCAUACCUUGGUGAUUUUAAGAUUUAAGUCGCUAAUGAUUCAUAGAACUUUCCUCAAGUAUGCUGACUAUUGGCAAAUAGUGGCCAUCCCUAUACCAACACGUUGCCAUCUGGGAUCACUCCCAGCUUUAUCUGCUGAAAUUGAUAAAUUCUUGUAGUUCUUUGGCUUUGAAAACUCAAUCUAUCACUCUCAUCUGCCAUUGCCUUUUUUUUUUUCUCAUGAUAAUCUUGCUUUUCCUCCUGACGAAAUCAAAUAGCUUCUGGCAGUGGUCUUAGGUUGCUAUCUGCUUAACCACCUCAAAAGCUACUGCUUUUAUUUAUAUUGUGAUUUUGGUCAGAGUUCCAAUAGCCAAUAGGCAUUCUGUCACCUUUGUCCCAAGGAACCUCUUUACGUGUCCACAAUCAAUUGAGUUCCAUGUAUACAACCAAAGCCAUUAUAACUGUUGCACUAAUAAAGAAGAUAUUGGUAAUCAAUUCUAAGAUUUUUCUUGGAACUAAAGCUCAAGUAAGAAAGCAUUUCACAUCCAGAGUUAAACUGUAGCUACCUAUACAUUCUAGAUUUCUAGUGAAACUAUAGCUACUGAUAUAUUCUAACUCCAUCAGCACAUUUUUUGGCUCGAAUGUGUAAUUUAGCUUCUUUGUCAUUCACCAUUUGACUCACUUCAUAAGGAAAUAAAUCUUAACCUCUGAUUAAUGAAUGACCAUUUUCGCAUACUUAAUACUAACCUUCAGAUGCUACUUGUUUUUUCUUACUAUUAAGUUGAUUCAAUAUGCCUUCCUGCUGCUAGGUUCACCGCACAUUAUAUUGUUCAGAUUCCAUUAUUUUAGAAGUCCUUUUGCAAAAACAAAUAAACGAAUAUAGAAACAUUAAUGAAAUAUAGAAUUGUUGUUCAAAAAUAAGCAAAACUUUAUCUUUUUGAAUAUUAAGAUAUUAAAUGUGAAAAUCCAUACUCUGGCUGAUUUUUUUUGUGACACUUGAUAGGCAAGAAAAAUUAAAAGAAAUGCACUUGAUGCCAAAAAAAAAAGAAAGAAAUGAAGAUCCCGCAGGACUGGGGUAGGCUAGUCUGAUAGUUUAGAUGGUUUCAAUAUAUUUGUUGUGCUGUUGGCUUUAUACCUUUUGGGAACCUGUAACCUGUGGUUUCAUUUUGUCUCCCUCAAAUGACUGGUGGUUAGGAAGUUUACUUGAGUUCCGAGUACUAUAAUCAAUAGUGCUCAAUAUGUUGGGUCUUUGUUUGAUCGCAACCUAAAUUAUAAGCAGGCAUCCACAGCAAACAUAUCUUAUGUUUGCUUUCUUAAAAUCAGGGCCCUCGAGCCUUUUCUCUUGAAGACAACUUGAUAGUAAUAAAUCAAAAUGCAACUCCUUAUUUAACUGCAUUUUUUGUUCUUUUUAUGUAUUCUUUUACCUUUGGAAAGAACAUAUUUGCAAUCUACAUUAUUGUGCAAUAAGGACAUUGUGCAAUAAGAGCAAUGUUAGCAAUGUUUUCCUGAAACUGCUCUUAUGUAUUUUUCCUACCUUUGCAGGCUAUAAGGACAUUUAUUAUUGAUAUUGAGCAUGUAGGUGACAGGACCUAUCACACUUUAAUGAGAAGCAUUCAUGAGUACAAUUUGCAGAACUCUCCAUUCACGUGCCUCAAUGCUGCGGUAACACCAGCUGGUGGAUAUCAUAUGAUCUUAUUGUACAAGGGACAAAAGUCUGUUAGGCUGCUCUUCAGGGACUCGGACGGAUAUCUUGUUGCUGUUGAAGAUGACUUGGGUUCUUGGUACGGUUCAAAGAUAUACCAGAGCUACCAUUCAUUAAUUCAGCUGAAAUGAAAAUGGAAUCAGGCUAUGGAGACAUGGAGACGAGUGAAAAACCAGUCACCGUGGGCCCGAAAGCUUUGAAUGAUCUCUUCUAUCGUCUUUUGAAGUAUGACAACAAUGCAACCCUUGGCAGUCAGACUCUUGAAUUGCAAAUGAAAGCACUGUACCGAGCAUGCUUAAUGUUUGGUGAGGGUCCGAGAAUCCGUCAUGUAAGAAGGUUUGUGUCGAAAAGAUUCAAGGUAUUCAUGGAUCUGGAGUUUCCAAGUGAUCUGUGGAAGCUUGUCCACAACUGGGGCCAUGUGUCUAAGUACAUCAUCUUCUGCUACGACAACAACAUGCUAGAGGCACCACAAGUGGACAAUGCUGAGUACAUGUCACACAUGAGGAUUAUGUCUUUCAUCGAGAUCCAGGGUCAAAGAACCAUCUACACCCCCACAGAUGCAGCUGGACCAGGUGGGGCCCUCCUCCUGGUGAAGGCAAAUUAAUCAUUCGCUCGGGCUUCAUGUUGCACGAAUUGUGUAACCACUUCAACCAAAGCCAUACCGCACGCGACAACAUUGCACAGUUCGCACUGCAGCCUGACCUGAAGUUCAUGAACUGCAUUUAUGGCCAGGAAACUGUAUAUGAAAGUUAAACUGUUCUGAACUAGAGUUGCUUGUUUUCGAUGGUUUGGAUGUAAAGUGCACCACUUGCUAUGUUCUACCACGUUAGUGUAGCACCAGUCCAGUGAUAUGGAUCAUCAAUGUUUGAUCCUGCUCCCUCUAAACCAAAUUGGUGUUUGACCAUAUUUGAUUUUUCACAUCACUGCUACUUUGUGGAGUAUUCACUACCACGACCUGCGUAAAUUGUCAGGUUUACUCAGGCAUUGUAUGAUGCAACGAAUAAUGGUAUUCUUGUGCCCUCCUUGCUCGUCGAGUUGAGGUUAUAAUCCGAUACUGUUAACAA